UUAAUAUUUAUUAAUGCAGUAAUAAGUUAAUUUUUACCCAAUAAAGAUUAUUAUAUUUAACUUUUUAUUGUUAUUAUAAUGUAUUGAUUAGUUUGUAAAAAUAUUUAAUAAGAAAAUACCGUUAAAAUGAAGUAUCAAUGUCCCAUGUUUAUCGAUAAACAACUGAUAAUUAUUUUGUCUCUUUCUUGCUUGAGCCAAAAGUCUUGAGAGCGAUAGAGACAGAUUAUUGAAGUAUUGGGGACAAACAAAUUCAUUGACUAGCUUUAUUGUUACCAUCUUUGAUAAUAUUAUUAUUAUCUAGGGUUCAAAACGACGCGCGAAACCCAUCUCCAUUAUAAAGUCACUACUAAUUUAUUAUAAUUAAUAUAAACAAUCGAUAGAUUAGUGGCGUUUUAGAUUUAGAGUGAAAAUCAAUAAUCCAAUAUAUCGUAUAGUACUAAAGGCCUUAAAUAUGGGACCUUACAAGUUCUCGACAUGCUUGCCGACUCAUAAUAAUAGCUUACCGUUAUAGCCUUGCACUUAGUAUAGGUUUAAACUAGAGUUUUUCAGCUUCAUACAAUUUUGUCUAUGGCCAUUCGACUGGACACAAACAACAAAUUGUUUCACACAAACAGUUUACAAGAACACUUUGCCUUUGUGUGAACGUACACGGAAAUAAAUGUGAUAUUGUAUUGUUUUUAUAUGUAAUGGUUUUUGAAAGUGCAGCAUUUUUGUGAAUGAGCAACAUUUUAAUGUAAUACACGUAUACUUUAUAAUAUCAUGGGGUUUUCUUGAUUUAUAUUGAACUAAUUAUUGUUUGGUAAUGCAUUUUUAAAAAUUUAUUGAAAUAUCAAUGUUUCCAUGUGUAUGAAAUUUAUUAUUAUUAAUUAAUUAAUUAAUGUUAUAUUAUAGUCAUUGGCUUUGUAAUUUUAAAAACGAUCAAUACGGCUCGACAAUUAUUCAGAGCAUAAUAAAAAUUAUUUAUUAUUUAUUUAAAAUAAAUUGCAUUUAACUGAUUGAUAAAAGCGCCAUGCUGUGUCGUCGUGCAUUAUGUCUUCGAUCCUCGAAUCGUUUUGUCUCCAUUUUAUAAUUAAAAUUACUUUUUCCUUUGUGACGAAUGAAUCUUCAUAGUUCAUAUAACUUUGGCGAUUUGCAAAGUCAAAAGAAAAACUUAUAAUUUAGGAACAAACAUUUUGCAUAUUACAUAUUUCACAACGUAAAUCUUGUGUGAACACAGCUUAAAUAUUUAAGCGUGAACAGUGCGUACAAAUUAUACCAUAUUAUACACGCCUGCUCUUUAUCAAGCCAAUGGUUAUUUUUAAUUAAAUUAACGCAUACGUUUUAUAAUUCGAAGCCAUUCCAUUCGACUCACUUGUAUGGUUAAUGUGAUAAUUAUACAUGGAACAAGCUUAAUGUUAAUAAUUUAAAAGAGUUAUUUUAUGUUUUAAUCGUUGUAUGUAAGAUAAUAAAUGAAAUCUGCGAA